rnacentral:rRNA from 1 species
AUUGAACGCUGGCGGCAGGCUUAACACAUGCAAGUCGAACGAGUGGCGGACGGGUGAGUAAUGCCUGGGAAACUGCCUGAUGGAGGGGGAUAACUAAUGGAAACGGUAGCUAAUACCGCAUACCAUCAGAUGUGCCCAGGUGGGAUUAGGUAGUUGGUGGGGUAAAGGCUCACCAAGGCGACGAUCCCUAGCUGGUCUUAGAGGAUGACCAGCCACACUUGAACUGAGACACGGCCCAGACUCCUACGGGAGGCAGCAGUGGGGAAUAUUGCACAAUGGGCGCAACCCUGAUGCAGCCAUGCCGCGUGUAUGAAGAAGGCCUUCGGGUUGUAAAGUACUUUCAGCGGGGAGGCGUUACCCGCAGAAGAAGCACCGGCUAACUCCGUGCCAGCAGCCGCGGUAAUAC